rnacentral:rRNA from 1 species
CGUACCUUUUGUAUAAUGGGUCAGCGACUUACUGUUCGUGGCAAGCUUAACCGUAUAGGGGAGGCGAAGGGAAACCGAGUCUGAUAAGGGCGCAUAGUCGCGGGCAGUAGACCCGAAACCGGGUGAUCUAGUCAUGGCCAGGGUGAAGGUGCCGUAACAGGUACUGGAGGCCCGAACCCACGUCUGUUGCAAAAGACGGGGAUGAGCUGUGAUUAGGAGUGAAAAGCUAAUCGAACCCGGAGAUAGCUGGUUCUCCUCGAAAGCUAUUUAGGUAGCGCCUCAUAUGUAUCCUCUCGGGGGUAGAGCACUGUUAUGGCUAGGGGGUCAUCGCGACUUACCAAACCAUUGCAAACUCCGAAUACCGAGACGGACUGUAUGGGAGACACACGGCGGGUGCUAACGUCCGUCGUGAAAAGGGAAACAACCCAGACCCACAGCUAAGGUCCCAAAUUCACUGCUAAGUGGAAAACGAUGUGGAAAGGCAUAGACAGCCAGGAGGUUGGCUUAGAAGCAGCCACCCUUUAAAGAAAGCGUAAUAGCUCACUGGUCGAGUCGGUCUGCGCGGAAGAUUUAACGGGGCUAAGCAGUGAACCGAAGCUUGGGGUGCAUAAAACUUGUUUUAUGCGCGGUAGAGGAGCGUUCCGUAAGCCUGCGAAGGUGGAUUGAGAAGUCUGCUGGAGGUAUCGGAAGUGCGAAUGCUGACAUGAGUAACGAUAAUGCGGGUGAAAAGCCCGCACGCCGAAAGCCCAAGGUUUCCUUGCGCAACGUUAAUCGACGCAGGGUUAGUCGGUCCCUAAGGCGAGGGCGAAAGCCGUAGUCGAUGGGAAGCAGGUUAAUAUUCCUGCACCUCGCGUGAGUGCGAUGGAGGGACGGAGAAGGUUAGGUGUACCGGGCGUUGGUUGUCCCGGGGAAAGGCGGUAGGUUUGGAUCUUUGGCAAAUCCGGGAUCCUUUAAGACCGAGCACCGAGACGAGCCUUUAUGGCGAAGUCACUGAUACCACGCUUCCAGGAAAAGCUCCUAAGCUUCAGCUCACGAAGACCGUACCGUAAACCGACACAGGUGGGUAGGAUGAGAAUUCUCAGGCGCUUGAGAGAACUCGGGUGAAGGAACUAGGCAACAUGGCACCGUAACUUCGGGAGAAGGUGCACCCUUUUUGGUGGCUCGUGCGAGCUAUAGCUGAAGAGGGUCGCAGAAACCAGGCCGCUGCGACUGUUUAUCAAAAACACAGCACUCUGCAAACACGAAAGUGGACGUAUAGGGUGUGACGCCUGCCCGGUGCUGGAAGGUUAAUUGAUGGGGUCAGCCGCAAGGCGAAGCUCUUGAUCGAAGCCCCAGUAAACGGCGGCCGUAACUAUAACGGUCCUAAGGUAGCGAAAUUCCUUGUCGGGUAAGUUCCGACCUGCACGAAUGGCGUAACGACAGCGGCGCUGUCUCCACCCGAGACUCAGUGAAAUUGAAAUCGCUGUGAAGAUGCAGCGUUCCCGUGGCAAGACGGAAAGACCCCGUGAACCUUUACUAUAGCUUUACACUGAACGUUGAGUUCGUCUGUGUAGGAUAGGUGGGAGGCUAUGAAACUGUGGCGCUAGCUGCAGUGGAGCCAUCCUUGAAAUACCACCCUGUCGUGCUUGACGUUCUAACCUAGGUCCGUUAUCCGGAUCAGGGACCGUGUAUGGUGGGUAGUUUGACUGGGGCGGUCUCCUCCUAAAGAGUAACGGAGGAGCACGAAGGUACGCUCAGCGCGGUCGGACAUCGCGCACUGUGUGCAAAGGCAUAAGCGUGCUUGACUGCAAGAUCGACGGAUCAAGCAGGUACGAAAGUAGGUCUUAGUGAUCCGGUGGUUCUGUAUGGAAGGGCCAUCGCUCAACGGAUAAAAGGUACUCCGGGGAUAACAGGCUGAUACCGCCCAAGAGUUCAUAUCGACGGCGGUGUUUGGCACCUCGAUGUCGGCUCAUCACAUCCUGGGGCUGUAGUCGGUCCCAAGGGUAUGGCUGUUCGCCAUUUAAAGUGGUACGCGAGCUGGGUUCAGAACGUCGUGAGACAGUUCGGUCCCUAUCUGCCAUGGGCGUUGGAAGUUUGAGAGGGGCUGCUCCUAGUACGAGAGGACCGGAGUGGACGAACCUCUGGUGUUCCGGUUGUCACGCCAGUGGCAUUGCCGGGUAGCUAUGUUCGGAAGCGAUAACCGCUGAAAGCAUCUAAGCGGGAAGCGCGCCUCAAGAUGAGACUUCCCGGGGCACAAGCCCCCUAAAGGAACCAUGUAGACUACGUGGUUGAUAGGUCAGGUGUGUAAGUACAGCAAUGUAUUGAGCUAACUGAUACUAAUGAUCCGUGCGGCUUGACCAU